AACGAACGCUGGCGGCAGGCCUAACACAUGCAAGUCGAACGCUCGUAGCAAUACGGGAGUGGCAGACGGGUGAGUAACGCGUGGGAAUCUACCCAAUGGUACGGAAUAACUCAGGGAAACUUGAGCUAAUACCGUAUGUGCCCGAAAGGGGAAAGAUUUAUCGCCAUUGGAUGAGCCCGCGUCGGAUUAGCUAGUUGGUGGGGUAACGGCCCACCAAGGCGACGAUCCGUAGCUGGUCUGAGAGGAUGAUCAGCCACACUGGGACUGAGACACGGCCCAGACUCCUACGGGAGGCAGCAGUGGGGAAUAUUGGACAAUGGGCGCAAGCCUGAUCCAGCCAUGCCGCGUGAGUGAUGAAGGCCCUAGGGUUGUAAAGCUCUUUCGACGGGGACGAUAAUGACGGUACCCGUAGAAGAAGCCCCGGCUAACUUCGUGCCAGCCGCCGCCGUAACAC
rnacentral:rRNA from 1 species